GAUGAACGCUAGCGGCAGGCUUAACACAUGCAAGUCGAGGGGCAGCGCGAUGUAGCAAUACAUUGGCGGCGACCGGCGCACGGGUGCGUAACACGUAUGGAACUUACCCUUUACUGGGAGAUAGCCCGGAGAAAUCCGGAUUAAUAUCCCAUAAUAAACGAGGUGGCAUCACUUUGUUUGAAAGCUCCGGCGGUAAAGGAUGGCCAUGCGCACGAUUAGCUAGUAGGUGAGGUAACGGCUCACCUAGGCUACGAUCGUUAGGGGGCCUGAGAGGGUUAUCCCCCACACUGGUACUGAGACACGGACCAGACUCCUACGGGAGGCAGCAGUGAGGAAUAUUGCGCAAUGGAGGCAACUCUGACGCAGCCAUGCCGCGUGCAGGAAGAAGGCGCUACGCGUUGUAAACUGCUUUUAACCGGGAAGAAACCCCAGGACGUGUCCUGGGUUGACGGUGCCGGAGGAAUAAGCACCGGNUAACUUCGUGCCAGCAGCCGCGGU
rnacentral:rRNA from 1 species